AAGUGAAAUAAAAUAUUUUAAUGGUGUUUUUUUCCCUUUUCAGUUUUGUUUUGCUUUUAAUGGAAACAGCUCUCUUUAUUCACACUCUCACAAAAUAAACAGUACAGUUUGUAAGGUCGUGAAAGACUUUCAAAACAAAAUAAGAAAGCUGACUGCCAGAUUAUAAAGUUUGGGAAUUCUGAAUGGAAAAUUAUUUAUCAUUUGCUAGUGAGGUAGGCCACUUUUGACUGAUUGUGCUACUUUAUAUUAAUUUCAAAUUAAUCGAGACCUUUGGGAAGGAAGAGGUGGCUUGCAUAGUCAUGUGACAUUGAUAUUUCAGUUUUUAGGCUAGGAAAGACUUAAUGAUUGUAAAUACUGGACAUAUCAAUGGGACAAAUCUCGUAUUUUCUAGAGUUUGAAGAGCAUAAUUCAAACAUCAAAUUAUAGAAUUGUUGUUCAAAAUCUGUAAUAUUUCAUUUAGUGAUCCCUGUGUUUCAGUUACCUAAAUUUUUGAUUCGAUAUUCUUAAUGGGGAAAAAGUGUGAUUCUUACCUUAACUGCACAUGAAAAUCACGUGGGGAACUUUAAAAACAAGUCCAUUAUCCAGAUUGUACCCCAAGGUAAUUCAGUCAGUCUCAGGGGGUAUAGUGUUAAAGGGUCCCAGGUGAUCUCAGUGUAUAGCCAAGGCUGAGAACCACUGUUCUAAAGAGAAGGUAAAGCAAAAUGGCUUGUUUUCACCUAGGCAAAAUGAAAGUAUUUGCAAUAACAAGUGAGAUUAGUGAGUAACUAAGCUGGCAUUCCAUGUGCAGAAAAAGGUAAUAGGGGUACUCUAAGGAACCAAACACACAAUAUUAUAGAGUUUGUGCAGUCAAUACAGUGGAGACGCUAGUGGAUAUUUAUUUAAACUUCUAAAACAUACAUAGGUGAUAUGCUGGAGGCUUUUAAAUUAUAUUCACAGUAAUGUCAUUUAUUCAUUAUAAAACUAUAGAUAACUCACCACAUCCGCAACAGAAAAUAUAUGUUGAAUGCUGAGGGUAAGCAUGUGUGUUGCUUUCCAUUCCAGAAUGAUCUAGGAAGAAGAAUACUGUGAAAUCUCCAAGUUGGGGCUGACACUAAGUAAUUCCUAAUUGAACAGUAUAGUUCACAAAGGUCCCACAAGACCGUUUGUGGGCAAACUGUUUCCUCAGUGUAUGUAGUAAUAAUGCAUACAGGUUUUCCAAAAGUAAACUUUAGUUCUAACAUAAUUGUCUUAUUAAAUAAAGUAAUUAAAAUGACAAUUUAAGUUUUGAUGUUCCAAAAUUAUUACAUUAGGUGGACAGUAAGGAAAAACUUCCAUAUUCCUCAAAUUUUAUUAAAAAGGUAUGUAGUUGGUUUGCUUUUGGGAGCCUUUUACUUUGUACAGCGUUACUGAUGCUCUGCUUUUUGAAAUUUUUAUUAUAACACUUUGUAGAUGUCGUGGUUUCAGUAUUUUCAUCUUGCAACCUUCAAAUGUGAUGGAUUAGUGAUGGAUUUUUAUAAUGAAAAUGUUAUGGGGCAAAGAGCCUGAAAUUUUAAAGGCUGUCUUUGUGAAACUAUAGCCGAGAGAGAGGCUUUCCUAUGGAAGCUGUGGUUUCUAGUGAAGCCUCUGGUCACUGUCCCACCUUCUGUGGCAGGGAGGGAUCCAAGGGAUAAAUCUCCCGUCUUCUUUCUCUUCUUUCCUCGGAUUAUGUGAUGACAUUUCACCAAAAGGGAAACCAAAAGGGAAUCUGAAAAGGAAAAAUGUCUACUGUUAACUGUUUCUUAGCCUCCCAAGGCACAGAGCAGAGAAUAGAGAAGAGCGUGAAUUUGAGGACCAAGGGAGAGUAUCCAGACGUGGGAUGUUGUGUCUGAUUUAGUUUGAGAAUCACUAUUCCAAAGGACAGCAGUAAUGUCUUCAUUUUUUGCCUCUCUCUGCAGAUAUAUCCUUCCUGUAGCCUCGCUAAAGCUUGCUCUGAAUUAGUGUUUGGACAGCAGGCUGAGUUGCCGUUAUUUUUUUCAUAAUUCUUUUGAAUUGGAGCCUCUGUUUUCUAAUCUGCCACCUUUGUAGGAAAUAGUGUGUGAUAAAUUUUCUGAUUCUAUGCAGUUCUAAAAUUUUCCUCAUUUUAAUGGGGAAAUUGGCUAGGCAUAGAAUUCCAGGUUGAAAUCAUUCUCCCUCAGAAUUUUGAAGAUACUACUCCACUAUCUUCUAGCUUCUAGUGUUGCCAAUGAAAAACAUGCAGUCUGGUUUUGUUCAUUUUAAAAUAAGUUUUGUUUUGAAUGGACACAUAACAAUACAUAUUUAUGGGACACAUUAUGAUGUUUCAAUAUAUAUGCACAGUGUGUAGUGAUCGAAUCAGAACAAUUAGCAUAUCGAUAACCUGAAACUCUUGUUAUUUCUUUGUGGUGAGAAAAUUAAAAAUCCUCUCUUCUAGCUAUUUUGAAAUAUAUAAUACAUUAUUGUUGACUAUGGCAAAAGUGGACAAAUAGGAUUACAUCAGAUUAAAAAGCUUCUCCACAGCAAACAAAAAAACAGAGUGAAGAGACAACUUACAGCAUGGGAGAAAUUAUUCACAAACUAUGCAGCUGACAAUGGUUUAAUAUCCCGAAUAUGCAAGGAACUCCAACAAUUCAAUAACAAC